rnacentral:rRNA from 1 species
GACGAACGCUGGCGGCGUGCUUAACACAUGCAAGUCGAGCGGUAAGGCCCUUUCGGGGGUACGACGAGCGGCGAACGGGUGAGUAACACGUGGGUGACCUGCCCUCAGCUCGUGGGAUAAGCCUGGGAAACCGGGUCUAAUACUGGAUAUGACUCCCAUGACGCAUGUUGUGGGGUGGAAAGCCUUGUGCGGCUGAGGAU